rnacentral:rRNA from 1 species
CGCAAGCCUGACGGAGCAAGACCGCGUGCGGGAUGACGGCCUAAUGGUUGUAAACCGCUUUUCUCUGGGAAGAUGAUGACGGUACCAGAGGAAUCAGCCUCGGCUAACUCCGUGCCAGCAGCCGCGGUAAUACGGAGGAGGCAAGCGUUAUCCGGAAUUAUUGGGCGUAAAGCGUCCGUAGGUGGUUAUUCAAGUCUGCUGUCAAAGCGUGGGGCUUAACUCCAUAGAGACAGUGGAAACUGGAUGACUUGAGUGCGGUAGGGGUCGAGGGAAUUCCCAGUGUAGCGGUGAAAUGCGUAGAUAUUGGGAAGAACAUCAGUGGCGAAAGCGCUCGACUGGGCCUGCACUGACACUGAGGGACGAAAGCUAGGGGAGCG